rnacentral:rRNA from 1 species
AGCUUUAGGGCUAGCCUCAAGGUGAGAGAUACGGAGGUAGAGCACUGAAUGUCCUAGGGGGUAUUGCACCUACCGAAGACUAUCAAACUCCGAAUGCCGUCAUCUUAUACUUGGGAGUCAGACUGUGGGUGAUAAGAUUCAUAGUCGAAAGGGCAACAGCCCAGAUCGUCAGCUAAGGUCCCUAAAUGUAAGUUAAGUGGUAAAGGAUGUGGGAUUGCACAGACAACCAGGAUGUUGGCUUAGAAGCAGCCACUCAUUCAAAGAGUGCGUAAUAGCUCACUGGUCGAGUGAUCCUGCGCCGAAGAUUUCCGGGGCUAAAACUUACUACCGAAGCUACGGCAUCAGUAAUGAUGGGUAGGGGAGCUUCCCAUACGGGUUGAAGCAUGACCGUAAGGACAUGUGGACAGUAUGGGAGUGAGAAUGUUGGCAUGAGUAGCGAGAUGUGGGUGAGAAUCCCACAGGCCGUAAACCCAAGGUUUCCAGGGGAAGGUUCGUCCGCCCUGGGUUAGUCGGGACCUAAGCUGAGGCCGAAAGGCGUAGGUGAUGGACAACAGGUUGAUAUUCCUGUACUACCGAUAACCGUUUGAGAGAAGGGAUGACACAGUAGGAUAAGCUAAGCACACUGUUGGUUAUGUGUGCCCAAGCAUUGAGGCAGUCAAAGUAGGCAAAUCCGCUUUGAUAAUGCUGGGAUGUGAUGGGGAGCGAAAUUUAGUAGCGAAGUAGCUGAUUUCACACUGUCAAGAAAAGUCUCUAUCGAGGUUAAAGGUACCCGUACCGCAAACCGACACAGGUGGGUGAGGAGAGUAUCCUAAGGCCAGCGAGAGAACUGUUGUUAAGGAACUCGGCAAAAUGACCCCGUAACUUAGGGAUAAGGGGUGCCACCAUCAGGUGGCCGCAGAGAAUAGGCCCAAGCGACUGUUUACCAAAAACAUAGGUUUCUGCUAAGUCGCAAGACGAUGUAUAGGAGCUGACGCCUGCCCGGUGCUGGAAGGUUAAGGGGAUCUGUUAGAGCAAUCGAAGCAGUGAACUUAAGCCCCAGUAAACGGCGGCCGUAACUAUAACGGUCCUAAGGUAGCGAAAUUCCUUGUCGGGUAAGUUCCGACCCGCACGAAAGGCGUAACGAUUUGGGCACUGUCUCAACAACAGACUCGGUGAAAUUGUAAUUCCGGUGAAGAUGCCGGAUACCUGCGACAGGACGGAAAGACCCCAUGGAGCUUUACUGUAGCUUGACAUUGGGUCUUGGUACUACAUGUACAGGAUAGGUGGGAGGCUUUGAAACCAGGACGCCAGUUUUGGCGGAGCCAUCCUUGGGAUACCACCCUUGUAGUACUGGGACUCUAACCAUAGGCCAUGAAUCUGGUCUUGGGACACUGUCAGGUGGGCAGUUUGACUGGGGCGGUCGCCUCCCAAAAGGUAACGGAGGCGCUCAAAGGUUCUCUCAGUACGGUCGGAAAUCGUACGUAGAGUGUAAAGGCAAAAGAGAGCUUGAUUGCAAGACAUACAGGUCGAGCAAGGAUGAAAAUCGGACUUAGUGAUCCGGUGGUUCUGCGUGGAAGGGCCAUCGCUCAACGGAUAAAAGCUACCCUGGGGAUAACAGGCUUAUCUCCCCCAAGAGUCCACAUCGACGGGGAGGUUUGGCACCUCGAUGUCGGCUCAUCACAUCCUGGGGCUGUAGUAGGUCCCAAGGGUUGGGCUGUUCGCCCAUUAAAGUGGUACGCGAGCUGGGUUCAGAACGUCGUGAGACAGUUCGGUCCCUAUCCGUCGCAGGCGUAGGAAAUUUGAGAAGACCUGUCCUUAGUACGAGAGGACCGGGAUGGACGUACCUCUGGUGUACCAGUUGUCCUGCCAAGGGCAUGGCUGGGUAGCUAUGUACGGAAUGGAUAAGCGCUGAAAGCAUCUAAGCGCGAAGCCAACUUCAAGAUAAGAUUUCCCACCGCAAGGGUAAGACCCCAGAAAGACUAUCUGGUUGAUAGGUCGAAGGUGUAAGUGCAGCAAUGUAUUUAGCUUAUCGAUACUAAUAGGUCGAGGACUUGACCAA